rnacentral:rRNA from 1 species
AUUGAACGUUGGCGGCAGGCUUAACACAUGCAAGUCGAGGGGUAACGAGAGGAAAGCUUGCUUUCCUUGUCGACGACCGGCGCACGGGUGAGUAACGCGUAUCCAACCUGCCCCCAACUAGGGAAUAACCUUGCGAAAGUAAGACUAAUACCCUAUAAUUUCCUCAGAUGUCAUCUGACGAGGAAUAAAGAUUUAUCGGUUGUGGAUGGGGAUGCGUCUGAUUAGCUUGUUGGCGGGGUAACGGCCCACCAAGGCAACGAUCAGUAGGGGUUCUGAGAGGAAGGUCCCCCACAUUGGAACUGAGACACGGCCCAAACUCCUACGGGAGGCAGCAGUGAGGAAUAUUGGUCAAUGGGCGGAAGCCUGAACCAGCCAAGUGGCGUGCAGGAUGACGGCCCUAUGGGUUGUAAACUGCUUUUAUACAGGAAUAAAGUUAGCCACGUGUGGUUAUUUGUAGGUACUGUAUGAAUAAGGACCGGCUAAUUCCGUGCCAGCCGCCGCGGUAA